rnacentral:rRNA from 1 species
AUUUGGAGAGUUUGAUCCUGGCUCAGGACGAACGCUGGCGGCGUGCCUAAUACAUGCAAGUCGAGCGGAGCUUAUCCUUCGGGGUAAGCUUAGCGGCGGACGGGUGAGUAACACGUAGGCAAC